rnacentral:rRNA from 1 species
CGGACGGGUGAGUAAUGUAUGGGGAUCUGCCUGAUGGCGGGGGAUAACUACUGGAAACGGUAGCUAAUACCGCAUAACGUCGCAAGACCAAAGAGGGGGACCUUAGGGCCUCUUGCCAUCGGAUAUGCCCAGAUGGGAUUAGCUAGUAGGUGGGGUAACGGCUCACCUAGGCGACGAUCCCUAGCUGGUCUGAGAGGAUGACCAGCCACACUGGAACUGAGACACGGUCCAG